rnacentral:rRNA from 1 species
GACGAACGCUGGCGGCGUGCUUAACACAUGCAAGUCGAACGGAAAGGCCCUGCUUUUGUGGGGUGCUCGAGUGGCGAACGGGUGAGUAACACGUGAGUAACCUGCCCUUGACUUUGGGAUAACUUCAGGAAACUGGGGCUAAUACCGGAUAGGAGCUCCUGCUGCAUGGUGGGGGUUGGAAAGUUUCGGCGGUUGGGGAUGGACUCGCGGCUUAUCAGCUUGUUGGUGGGGUAGUGGCUUACCAAGGCUUUGACGGGUAGCCGGCCUGAGAGGGUGACCGGCCACAUUGGGACUGAGAUACGGCCCAGACUCCUACGGGAGGCAGCAGUGGGGAAUAUUGCACAAUGGGCGGAAGCCUGAUGCAGCAACGCCGCGUGCGGGAUGACGGCCUUCGGGUUGUAAACCGCUUUCGCCUGUGACGAAGCGUGAGUGACGGUAAUGGGUAAAGAAGCACCGGCUAACUACGUGCCAGCAGCCGCGGUGAUACGUAGGGUGCGAGCGUUGUCCGGAUUUAUUGGGCGUAAAGGGCUCGUAGGUGGUUGAUCGCGUCGGAAGUGUAAUCUUGGGGCUUAACCCUGAGCGUGCUUUCGAUACGGGUUGACUUGAGGAAGGUAGGGGAGAAUGGAAUUCCUGGUGGAGCGGUGGAAUGCGCAGAUAUCAGGAGGAACACCAGUGGCGAAGGCGGUUCUCUGGGCCUUUCCUGACGCUGAGGAGCGAAAGCGUGGGGAGCGAACAGGCUUAGAUACCCUGGUAGUCCACGCUGUAAACGGUGGGUACUAGGUGUGGGGUCCAUUCCACGGGUUCCGUGCCGUAGCUAACGCUUUAAGUACCCCGCCUGGGGAGUACGGCCGCAAGGUUAAAACUCAAAGGAAUUGACGGGGCCCCGCACAAGCGGCGGAGCAUGCGGAUUAAUUCGAUGCAACGCGUAGAACCUUACCUGGGUUUGACAUGGAUCGGGAGUGCUCAGAGAUGGGUGUGCCUCUUUUGGGGUCGGUUCACAGGUGGUGCAUGGCUGUCGUCAGCUCGUGUCGUGAGAUGUUGGGUUAAGUCCCGCAACGAGCGCAACCCUUGUUCACUGUUGCCAGCACGUUAUGGUGGGGACUCAGUGGAGACCGCCGGGGUCAACUCGGAGGAAGGUGGGGAUGACGUCAAGUCAUCAUGCCCCUUAUGUCCAGGGCUUCACGCAUGCUACAAUGGCUGGUACAGAGAGUGGCGAGCCUGUGAGGGUGAGCGAAUCUCGGAAAGCCGGUCUCAGUUCGGAUUGGGGUCUGCAACUCGACCUCAUGAAGUCGGAGUCGCUAGUAAUCGCAGAUCAGCAACGCUGCGGUGAAUACGUUCCCGGGGCU